rfam:Triticum aestivum genome assembly, contig: Triticum_aestivum_CS42_TGACv1_scaffold_147299_2BS
CAAUUACUCCCUCCGUCCAGAAAAACUUGUCGAAGAAAUUGAUAAAAAUGGAUGUCUCUAAAACUAAAAUACAUCUAGAUACAUUCAUUCCUCCGACAAGUAUUUUCAGACGGAGGGAGUAUUAU